rnacentral:rRNA from 1 species
CACGUAGGGUGCGAGCGUUGUCCGGAAUUAUUGGGCGUAAAGAGCUCGUAGGCGGUGUGUCGCGUCGGCCGUGAAAACCUGCAGCUUAACUGUGGGCUUGCGGUCGAUACGGGCAUCACUGGAGUUCGGCAGGGGAGACUGGAAUUCCUGGUGUAGCGGUGAAAUGCGCAGAUAUCAGGAGGAACACCCGUGGCGAAGGCGGCUCUCUGGUACGUGACUGACGCUGAGACGCGAAAGCGUGGGGAGCAAACAGG